rnacentral:lncRNA from 1 species
GAUUUUCAAGGCUAAUUUGCUUUUUUGUCUUAAGCAGUGUCUCUUGCUACAAAUUAGCCUUGUGCACCUCCCUGAGCUAGAGAGGCUCCUUCAAAAUUCCUAACAGGCAGCCUGGUGGAGAGAUGGGAGGGAAAGGAAGGGAGGGAGGAAGGGCGGGAGGAAGGGAGGGAGAGAGGUAGAGGGUGCCUGUCUGCUGCGUACAUGUGGUACAGGCUGGGAGAUCAGAACGCUCACAGAACAGGCAGUGUAAUUACAUGUUCCUUGUAAGUAUGUUAGCCCCACGGGGAACUAAGCUGGCCAGUCCACUUGGAGAGGAAAAGUAGAUUUAAGGAUGGUAGAAGGGGUCAUUUCAUAACUGACUUAUUACUCAGUUAUGAUGAGGGCAUUUGCUGAUCUCCAGUGACUGCCUCAUGCUUUUGGUCAGGCUCGGCUCUCUCACUCCCAGAUACUUGAUUUUGCAAAAGGGACACACCUUUCUGCAGGAAAAGAAGACACUGACCAGAUUGCAAGCGGUAUUUGUGGAUGCCUCGCAGUCAUCCAGGGCCCAGGCGAACUGACUGUGCAUGGGAAUCGGAGACCAUGGCCGUGCAGCUGGUGCCCGACUCUGCUCUCAGCCUGCUGAUGGAUUUACCCACAAGCCUCCUGACCUUGAAGCAGGAAAGUUAACACCUUCAGAGGCAGCUCUCAACCAAUGGAAGUUGGAGUCAGCAGACAGAUACCCCAGUAUCUUCUAGUCCCUAAGCAGACAGCUUGGGGAGACACUCUAUAAGACUCCUUAGAGGGUCUCCCAAUAAGCCUGAGCUAUUCUUACCACACAAGAAUCAAUUUAAUGAUAUACUUUUUUUUUGACUUUCCUUCCUUCUGUCUCACAUGCCUGCCCUCUCACUGCUAAUUCUUGAGAUUUCCUCUCAGGUAAACUACUCACAUCCUGCAUUCAGGGAAAACCCAAGCUAAGAUAGCUUUGUAAACUUUUUUAACAAAGAAGCUCUCAAACCAACAUAAAGCUUUUAAUUUUUUUUAAUUUUUAAUUUUUUAUAUAUUGUUUAAGAUUUUAUUUAUUUGACAGAGAG